CCAGCUCACCCAGCUUGUCUGCCGCCGGCUGCACCCUCGCCACCUCCCUCUCCGGCCUGUCGCCGCCAAGAUUUCAGAAUUCAGAUUGCACAAGAAAGGUCCCGUUCUUUUAUCCAACAAGAGUUAGAUGAAUAUUAAGAUUUUCGUGGCACGUUUUUUAAACUGCUAAAUGGUGUGUUACGUUUGAAAACGUUCUAUAUGAAAGUUGCUCUAAAAUAUCAUAUUAAUCUAUGUUUAAGUUUGUAAUAAUUAAAACUCAAUCAAUCAUACGUUAAUACCACCUCAAUUACGUAAAAAAGACUUAAUCUUCAUCUCCAGAAGAAAAGAACACCACCAAAGCUAGAAUCCGAGGUGGAGUAUAAUCUUUCUUGAAUCAUUUGUUCUUGAUCAGAGAAAGAAAGAUCGGCAUACUCUUUGAGGACGUCGAGGUGAGGGUACUUGGCGGCGAAGUGUUCGACGAUGUCGUGGAUGGUCGGGUAGGCGGCGGAGCAGA
rnacentral:lncRNA from 1 species